UGGAUAUAUUUAUGAUAUAAUUAUUGGAUGUGUAUGGGUUAAAGCUUGGUGAAUAUGUGAAUAAAAUACAUUUCAUAAAUAGAUGCUGCUGCCAGUAAAAAAAAAAACAUUUAAAAAAAAAUAUUCUUCAACAGAAGUCUACCUGAUAUUCUCAUUGAAACGGACACAUGUGGUUUUGACAGUUUAUAUACCUGCUUUCAUUCUUAUGUGCCUGUCCCAAGUCAGGAGCCUGUCCCAAGUCAGGUCUUAUGUGCCUGUCCCAAGUCAGGUCUUAUGUGCCUGUCCCAAGUCAGGAGCCUGUCCCAAGUCAGGAGCCUGUCCCAAGUCAGGUCUUAUGUGCCUGUCCCAAGUCAGGAGCCUGUCCCAAGUCAGGAGCCUGUCCCAAGUCAGCAGCCUGUAAAUCAGUGCUUGUUUGUUGCUCUAUAUCAUAUUUGUUUUUCAUUCAUUGUUUUGUACAAAAAUCCGGCUGUUAGUUUUCUAACGGAAUUGAAUUGUUUUACAUUUGUCAUUUCAGGGCUUUUACAGCUGACUAUGUGGUAGGGUUUGGCUCACUGUUGAAGGCUGAUCGAUGGCCUAAAGUUUUCAAUUUCUAUGUCAUUUGGUCUCAGGUGGAGAGUUGUCUCAUUGGUAAUCAUAACACUGAAAUUGAGGACAUCAAUAAGCAACAAGUUUAUGUCCCUACAGACUAAAGUUCCCACAAUGUGUUUAAAUAAAAUUUACUUAUAAAAAAUAAGGAGAUGAGGUAUGAUUGCCAAUGAGACAACUAUCCACCAAAGUUCAAAUAAAGUGGAUGUAAGCAAUUAUAGGCAACCAUACAGCCUUCAAAAAUGAGAAAAA